AGCGACCCCUCGUACGGCGGUAUCUCGCUGAACCCCCCAGGGCCGGAAGGCAGCAAGGGCAGGUGAGCUCUAUCGGGUGUGCGGGGGGUCACUUCA
rnacentral:SRP_RNA from 2 species